rnacentral:rRNA from 1 species
GGGAUUGAUAGGCAUUAGCAGCGAGGAAGGACGUGUAGGAGGACGAUAUGCCUUUUUGAGGAUGUCUGAAUGAAGCGGAAGCGCUUGGGGACCCCUUUGACUUAAGCAUAUCAAUAAAGGGAGGAGAAGAAACCAAAAGGGAUUGUCGGAGUAGCGGCGAGUGAAAGGACAGGAGCUCGAAUGGUAACUGCGUUUGGCGGGUUGUUUUGAGUAGGAGGAGACUGAGCUAGGGAUUGAAGUCCCUGAUCUUAGAGGGGGAAUGGCCUGUAAGUAUCCGGACUUGAGAGAAGAGUAGGGUUGUUUGGUAGUGCAGCCUGAAUUGGGUGGUGUUUUUUUUUCACCGAAAGCUAAAUAUAAGCUAAUGACCGAUAGCGAAGAAGUAGAGUGAUUGAAAUGUGAAAAAGACAAGAUGAAAAAUGAAAGUGAAUGCUUUGAAGGGGAUGAGACCCGCCCGUCUUGAAACACGGACCAAGGAGAGGAUGGCUGGAUUGUUUUAGCGAGAGCUAGUGGAUGCAGUGAUCCGACCCGAAAGAUGGUGAACUAUGCCUGUGUUGAUUGAAGGGAUGCGAAAGUGUUCUGGAGGAUCUAAGCCGUUCUGACGUGCAACUCGAUGGCAUGAGAUGGGCAUAGGGGCGAAAGACCAAACGAACCAUCUGGUAGCUGGUUCCCUCUGAAAUGUCUCUCAGGACAGCGGCGACUUGAUGUAAGAUGUUGUAAAGCACUAAUGCGAUAGCGUUAAACUUUGAAGAUGUCUUGUAAGGGGGUAGCCAGUGGGCAUAUUGUGGUAAGCAUGAUGUGCGAGAAGGGAUGAACCUUUUUUAGGAUAAGGAGCCGUAUGCAAGGGAAGAGAAUCUGGCGGUUUGAUUUUGACAGUUGGACGGUGGCCAUGGAGGUUGGCAUCCGCUAAGAAACGUGUUGCAACGUACCUACCGAAUUGGGCGCUGGAGAAAAUGGAAGGGAUUGAAUUGCAGGUAUCCGAGGCCUUAGCGGCGGAGCUGAGUAAGAGGGCGAUAUCAUUCUGACGAAGGUCCUGCGUGAGCGGGGGUGGAGGGGUGAUAUGAGCAGAUCUUGGUAGUAGUAACAAGAAAGGAUUUGCGCUGUGGACGAGGGUUCCCCAUUUGAUGGGGGUGAAUCGACUGUUGAAACGGAGACUGAUUGAAGAUUGAGUGUAUGGAUGCUUUGAGGCGACUUGAUGAUGACGGAUGGGGGAUUUUUGAUCCUAGGAGAGCAGAACUAGGGGAAGUAGCGGUGUGGAUUGUUAAGAGACGAAGCAGCGCUGAGGAGAUGACCUGUUCCGAUGAAAAAGAAGCAUGCAUGUCGUACCUAGACCGCAACAGGUGUCCACUGUUUGACGCGGAAGCGAAUUUGAGAAGGGUUGUAAGGGAAGUCGGCAAGAUGGAUGUGUAACUUUGGGAGAAGGAUUGGCUCUAGCGUGCUAGAACUGUUUGUUGUGGGGAAUCUGACUGUUUAUUAAAAACAUAGCCUUGCGGAAGAACGCAAGGUGAAUUCUGCCCAGUGCACUUUUAGUUACGGCUUUUUGAGCUUAAGCGAGUGUAAACGGCGGGAGUAACUAUGACUCUCUUAAGGUAGCCAAAUGCCUCGUCAUGUAAUUAGUGACGCGCAUGAAUGGAGCAACGAGAUUCCCACUGUCCCUACGACCUGUAUUGUGAACCUACAGCCAAGGGAACGGGCUUGGGCUGAUCAGCGGGGAAAGAAGACCCUGUUGAGCUUGACUCUAGCAUGUGAGAAGUGCUGAGGGUGGUUAUGAAGAGAGGUGGGGGGAGAUGUGCGAGACCACUAUGACUGAGCCUCAGCGGUUUAUUUAUGGAUGUGGGGAGUUUGGCUGGGGCGGCACGACUGCUAAAGACUAACGCAGACGUCCUAAGGCGGGCUCAGCGGGGAAGGAAACCACGCGUGGAGCACAAGGGCAUAAGCCUGCUUGAGACUAUUCCUAUUGCGGGAUUGUUUGGGGGAAACCCUGGCCUAGAGAUCCCAUGUCCUAUAAGGCUUGGGACAUGGGUGACAGAAAAGUUACCACAGGGAUAACUGGCUUGUAGCAGCCGAGCGAUCAUAGCGACGCUGCUUUUUGAUUCUUCGAUGUCGGCUCUUCCUAUCAUCGUGAAGCAGAAAUUGCGAAGUGUUGGAUUGUUCACCCACCAACAGGGAACGUGAGCUGGGUUUAGACCGUCGUGAGACAGGUUAGUUUUACCCUACUGUGAUUGACUGGGCAGUAAAUCUUGAUAGUACGAGAGGAACUCUUGAUUGCGACCUCUGGUGGAGCGGCAAGCCUGCUGGCUGUUGCGGAGCUACGUCGGGAGUAUAAUGGCUGAAGGCCUCUAAGCCUGAAGACUGACUGCGCUGUGAUGUGGACGGAAGACGACCGUUAUGGAUGCAAGCUGUGCGAAUGGAGGAGUAAUCCGACAUUUUGAGGCUGUGCAUUU